rnacentral:rRNA from 1 species
GACGAACGCUGGCGGCGUGCUUAACACAUGCAAGUCGAACGGAAAGGCCCUGCUUUUGUGGGGUGCUCGAGUGGCGAACGGGUGAGUAACACGUGAGUAACCUGCCCUUGACUUUGGGAUAACUUCAGGAAACUGGGGCUAAUACCGGAUAGGAGCUCCUGCUGCAUGGUGGGGGUUGGAAAGUUUCGGCGGUUGGGGAUGGACUCGCGGCUUAUCAGCUUGUUGGUGGGGUAGUGGCUUACCAAGGCUUUGACGGGUAGCCGGCCUGAGAGGGUGACCGGCCACAUUGGGACUGAGAUACGGCCCAGACUCCUACGGGAGGCAGCAGUGGGGAAUAUUGCACAAUGGGCGGAAGCCUGAUGCAGCAACGCCGCGUGCGGGAUGACGGCCUUCGGGUUGUAAACCGCUUUCGCCUGUGACGAAGCGUGAGUGACGGUAAUGGGUAAAGAAGCACCGGCUAACUACGUGCCAGCAGCCGCGGUGAUACGUAGGGUGCGAGCGUUGUCCGGAUUUAUUGGGCGUAAAGGGCUCGUAGGUGGUUGAUCGCGUCGGAAGUGUAAUCUUGGGGCUUAACCCUGAGCGUGCUUUCGAUACGGGUUGACUUGAGGAAGGUAGGGGAGAAUGGAAUUCCUGGUGGAGCGGUGGAAUGCGCAGAUAUCAGGAGGAACACCAGUGGCGAAGGCGGUUCUCUGGGCCUUUCCUGACGCUGAGGAGCGAAAGCGUGGGGAGCGAACAGGCUUAGAUACCCUGGUAGUCCACGCUGUAAACGGUGGGUACUAGGUGUGGGGUCCAUUCCACGGGUUCCGUGCCGUAGCUAACGCUUUAAGUACCCCGCCUGGGGAGUACGGCCGCAAGGCUAAAACUCAAAGGAAUUGACGGGGCCCCGCACAAGCGGCGGAGCAUGCGGAUUAAUUCGAUGCAACGCGUAGAACCUUACCUGGGUUUGACAUGGAUCGGGAGUGCUCAGAGAUGGGUGUGCCUCUUUUGGGGUCGGUUCACAGGUGGUGCAUGCCUGUCGUCAGCUCGUGUCGUGAGAUGUUGGGUUAAGUCCCGCAACGAGCGCAACCCUUGUUCACUGUUGCCAGCACGUUAUGGUGGGGACUCAGUGGAGACCGCCGGGGUCAACUCGGAGGAAGGUGGGGAUGACGUCAAGUCCUCAUGCCCCUUAUGUCCAGGGCUUCACGCAUGCUACAAUGGCUGGUACAGAGAGUGGCGAGCCUGUGAGGGUGAGCGGAUCCCGGAAAGCCGGUCUCAGUUCGGAUUGGGGUCUGCAACUCGACCUCAUGAAGUCGGAGUCGCUAGUAAUCGCAGAUCAGCAACGCUGCGGUGAAUACGUUCCCGGG